rnacentral:rRNA from 1 species
CCUACGGGUGGCAGCAGUGAGGAAUAUUGGUCAAUGGGCGCGAGCCUGAACCAGCCAAGUAGCGUGAAGGAUGACUGCCCUACGGGUUGUAAACUUCUUUUAUAAAGGAAUAAAGUGAGGCACGUGUGCCUUUUUGUAUGUACUUUAUGAAUAAGGAUCGGCUAACUCCGUGCCAGCAGCCGCGGUAAUACGGAGGAUCCGAGCGUUAUCCGGAUUUAUUGGGUUUAAAGGGAGCGUAGAUGGGUUGUUAAGUCAGUUGUGAAAGUUUGCGGCUCAACCGUAAAAUUGCAAUUGAUACUGGCAGUCUUGAGUACAGUUGAGGUAGGCGGAAUUCGUGGUGUAGCGGUGAAAUGCUUAGAUAUCACGAAGAACUCCGAUUGCGAAGGCAGCUUACUGGGUCGAUACUGACAUUGAGGCACGAAAGCGUGGGGAGCAAACAGGAUUAGAUACCCCAGUAGUC